UGUAACUGUUCAUAAAAGCGCUUAGCAUCAUCAUUUGGUUCAGACUAAGCCCCCGGGUGCAUCACAAAAGCAUCUCUAACCAUUUUAUUGGAUCGAUAGUUUUUAACAUUAUUCUCCGCUAAUGGACUACCCUCACUACCAAAUUAUUUUUGAAAAUCGACAUCACACACUAGCAACAUCCUCUCCAUGAAUAGUCCACACGUAAUAAUUUUUCAUAAAUCCUUUUUUAUAAAGAUGAAUUUUAACAACAUCUGGUUGUAAUAACUUUUCACCCUUGCAUUUGACACAAGGACACCUAAUCAUCUCUUCACUGAAAAAUUCAUGAAUUGUUUUCGCUUUAGCCAUAAAUUCAGUAACUCCUAUAAAUUCCUUCCUCAACCCACUACGAUUAGGAUAAGUCCGAUUAUACAUCCAUCUACGAUAUGCAAGCUCCAUCUACACAAAUAAAUCCAAGAUAUUUAAAACAAUAUAUAUUACUUAGUAUUAUGCCAAACAAUUUACUUAUAAAAAAAAAUUGGUUCUUUCAACGACAAAAAUAUAUUUUGUGGCCAUCCUAUAAUAUUCAAGACUUCAAGAACCAUUAUGUGCUUUAUAUCAACAGUAUGUGCUCUAUGCAAAUGAACUAUCAAAAACCUUGAAAGAGUAUGUCAUAUUUACUUUGCUUUAACAACCAACAGCAACAAGUGACAUAGAUCAUGACUUAAGAUAUAUAUUUGUGGAGAAAAAUUAUUAACACCCAUCAAAGAGUCAUUGUUUUCCUAUUUAGUUGUAUAUGGUUGGAAGAAUUCUUUUCCUGUGGGAGCUAGCCAGACCUAUUUAAAUCAAGUUUAAAUCAACAACUCUACCAUCCAAGUUGCAAGAUUAUUUAAUGCAUCGCUCUUCCAAUUCAAAUCAAAACCAACUCACAAACAGAUUGUAUAGUCCAAACAGCUUUUCAAAUCAAAUUUAUUCUCUAAGCCAUAUCAUAUUAUUACUUGGUUACUGAUUUAGUGCUAUUCUCAGGUGAAAUUAUGGAUCGAAAAGAAAACUCAACAAUCAAACCAAUUGAAGCGGAUUAUAGACAGAGAACAAACAAGUAGCAUUCAUGUCAUCAAAAAUCAAUCGCAAGAUACACAGAGGAACUUUAAAGAGAGUAAGAUUUCAGCCGUUUGCCUCUGUCAGCCUUUUGCCUCCUUCAGUCGUUUGCCUCUGUCAGCGGCAAAGAUGGAGUGGAAGAGAAAUUGAAGAACAAUCUGCCUCACAGGUGAAAUGGAAGAGAAAUCAAAGAAGAAAAAAGAUAUCGAAAGAGAGAGGAGGGAAAUUGGGGAAAUAGGGCGCCCAGAAAUUGAAAUAGGUUUUUGGCAUGAAAUAUUAAAUUUAAAUUUUUGACUACCGUGGUCGCAAACCCACAUAAAUA